ensembl:lncRNA
CUACUCACUGGUGUUUGUUUGGACAGUGUAAACAUCAGCUUUGUUCUGCCAGUUUCUGACUUUGCUGGUGGAUUGAAGUAAAGUUGCACAAUUGUGGCCAAAAUGAUAAUCAGGAUUAUUUUGAUUAGUUUUGAGUUCAUGCUUAUUCAUGUUUUUUUAGGGACAAAAUGUUUUUAUUGCACUUUCACAUUAAUUAAACUAUGCACCUCUGACACUUUCAUGUUCUGCUGCACUCCUGCUUAUGUGAAUUGGAAAGAGGUUUUGUCAUCACUCAUAUUCAGUUCAUCGGCUAAGAGGCAAAAAUGUAAAUGAAACGCCUCGCUUGGUGAGUAUUUGCUUAUUGAUGGACACUACAACUUACCAAAGGUCCCUGAACACAGGCUACAGUGGAAGUUAGCUAGGCAACUGUGCACAGAGAAGCCUCUAAUCUCCACUAAGUUACUGUCACUCAGGUGUGACCAAAAAUUACUUUAAAAAGAGAGAAAUAAAGGGUGUUACAGUCAGAUUUACCCGCAUUGAAACCAAGGGAUUUUAUUUCCAUGGGCUGCUUUCUAUGAGCCGAGCAUAUCUUAAAUGUAAGUGUUGAUGUUCAGUCCUACACUGAAGUGUGAAGGUGCACUUGUUUGCAUCACCUGUCUUUAAUUAUAUAAGGAACAGUCAGACUUAAUAUCAGAAAUAAAACAUUUUUAGAAGAUGGUGAGAUUGAUUGUAUUGCUGUGUUUACCAAAGCAAAAGACAGACUCGAGAAGUGGAAAAUUUUAGAACCUCAACACACCGUUGUGCAGUCUUAGUCAUUUUGAGAUAACAUUUGGAGGAUUCAGCCACUGGAUGAUCUAUCUCUUAACAAAAUGAAGCAGCAUCUGGUCCACCAGAACAAUUAGGGAAAAUGCCUCAAGUAUCAUCAGGUCUCAGGUCGCGUCAUGUCACACCUCCAACCAUAGGAACCCCUGUCAGGGCUGGCGAUAGACCCUCCAAAUCCACCGUCUCUCUCUGCCUUGAGUCUACCUCACUGGGACAACAGGAAACCAAAAGUAGUCAACGGAACUGUCACAGUACCAAGCCGCCUUAUUCCUCCACCUCUGCGAGCCUCGGGUCUGGUAGGCGGCGCAGCCCCGCUGAGCGACCCAGCAAGACUCAGCUGAAGGAGGUGGAGCUUAUGCAAGAUGCAAGCGCAGCACACAGAGCUGCCAAGCUGUUAUACAGCGGUGAGGACAAAUCCUGCAGAUUCAUCAGGGAUCCCCCCCUCCACGAGAAGAGCCAGCCUCACGUCCCCUCCUCUCAAGGACCAGCCAGCAGUACUUUCUCACACGGGAAGAAGCCAUGUCCUCCUCUUCUCCUGAAGCCUGCAGAGAGAAAGUUAUCCGUUUUGGAAAAGUGCUCCCCUCUGGCUGCACCAGCAAACCGCUCUCCUCGCAGCAGAGCGAAGCCCCCAGCCGUUCAGCAGAAAGUCGGGGGCUUUGACCACAGGGGUCCGGCCCAGAAGCGCAAACACAGCAGUGAGUCCCUGCCGCUCAGCUCCUCACUGUCCAGAACCACCAAGUAUAAAUGUUUGCCCUCCCCUUCCCGUUCAAGCCUUGUUUCCUGGAAGGGAGAGAAUAUCGAGGAUGUGCUUACUUGGGGCUUGGAGAAAAGAUCAGACCCGUAAAAGAACCUUUUGUGAAAUAGGCUGCACUCCGUCAGUUUUAUUAUGAUGUGGAUUCAUUCCCUUAAAAAAAGACAUGAGUGGAAUCAACAUCUUGAUUUGAACUGAACUGUGAUUUGUUUUUUAGCAACACCAUUUGUAAGUGACGGUUGUUUACGCUCAUCUUCGCAGCCAACAAAGAGGCCAGCCUUAAAAAGACCACUUGGAGAAAAGGCCCACUGAAGGCUGCAGCUACUGACAGGAUCGUGUGAGUGUUUGAAUGUGUGUGUUUGUAAGUGUGCACGUCUCUUUGUUUAUUUAUCUACACUUUUUAUGCACAGCUGUCAGGAACAAGUAUUUGUAUGCACAUUACUGUAUUUGUGUAUUAUUGCAAAGUUUUCUAUUUUUCUACAGGACGAAAUGAGUUGAAUAUCUG